AUAGCUUCUCGGCCUUAUCGCUAAGAUCAAAGUGUAGUAUCUCCUCUUAUCAGCUUAAUAUUUGAUAGACCCUCCAUCGGAGGGCAACAAAUGUUAAAGAGAAUUUUGGGGUCAGACGGAAAGCUAGAAGAUUGCUCCGCUUCUGUCGCGGGUCGGCCUGCAUUGCAGUACCGCCAGAUUUUUGGGCCAAUUAUA
rnacentral:snRNA from 1 species